GAGGGUGUAGCUUAGUGGUAGAGCACAUGCCUAGCGUGCACGAGGUCCUGGGUUCAAUCCCCAGUCCCUCCA
rnacentral:tRNA from 1 species